GGACACUCCAACUGCUUUGAGGAGUGCUAUCUCGGCUUCGAGAAUUUUGGCGUCAUACGUGAACGCCACUGACAGGAUUCAGGUUCGGGAUAGCGACUUCAGUGGGUGUUGAAUUCGCGGAGGGCGAUGAGAUAAUGCAUACGGCGACAGUACCCGUCUUGCAACCUCACCGCCAGGAACGCUCGAAGGAUUCAACCUCCUUGCUGUCCACGCCCUGCGAAUACUGGGUUCGUGUGUGAAGGGUUCCGAAGCAAUAAAGAACAUGUUUGUGCAUUAUGAUACACCUGUGCCGGUGACACCGUGCAUCAUGUUCACUGGGAGCAGCAUUGAAGAAGCGGAGCAUAUGGACCUCUAUGUCGGCGA